AUUAAAAAGGGGAGAGAGAGAGAGAGAGUAGAGCCCACAAAGUGACACAGUAGGUAGGACCUACACACCGCCCAUGCGGCACGCUGUCUAUCUAAAAAAAAACUUUCAAAACCAAAACCAAAACUAAAACUAAAACUAAAACUAAAACUCUCUCAUUCAUCUGAAUACUCUCUUAACCUCUCCUCAGACCUAACCCUAAACCCAUCUCUUUCCUCUCCUCUUCUUCCUCUUCCAAGCUUCAUCUUCAUGUAUUACUACUAGCUUCUCCUGCUCCCCUUUCCAUUUUUACAUAUGUACAUGACUUUGUACCCUUUGAUCUCUUUUCCUUUUUAUUAAUAAUCUCUCGAUCCAUCUCUUCUUUAAUAAUAUCUUCAAUCUUUUUCUUCCUUUAAUUUAUUGAAUUGAGCUCUAUUUUGUACAUCUUCUUCAAGCUAAGCUAAGCUAUUGGUAUUUUAUUUGAGUGGAAGAGAAGAGAGGAUAUUUCGAAAUAUUAAUUAGGGUUUUCUUUUCCAUUAAUUAUUGUUUGCUUUUCAAUCAAGAAAUGGAUCAGGUCUCUCGCUCUCUUCCUCCACCCUUUCUCUCAAGAGAUCUCCAUCUUCACCCACACCACCAAUUCCAGCACCAGCAGCAGAGCCUCGGCCAUGAGCUCGACCAGCACCGAAUCGGCGGGCUUAAACGUGACAGAGACGCUGAUAUCGAUCCCAACGAGCACUCUUCAGCCGGAAAAGAUCAAAACACUCCCGGCUCAGGCGGAGAAAGCGGCGGAGGCGGAGGCGGUGAUAAUCACAUCACCAGAAGGCCACGUGGCAGACCAGCUGGGUCCAAGAACAAACCCAAGCCACCAAUCAUCAUCACCCGAGACAGCGCAAACGCUCUCAAAUCUCAUGUCAUGGAAGUUGCAAACGGGUGUGACGUCAUGGAGAGCGUCACCGUCUUCGCUCGCCGUCGCCAACGUGGCAUCUGCGUUUUGAGCGGAAACGGCGCCGUCACCAACGUCACCAUCAGACAGCCGGCGUCAGUACCUGGCGGUGGCUCAUCUGUCGUUAACCUACACGGACGUUUCGAGAUUCUUUCUCUCUCGGGAUCUUUCCUUCCCCCACCGGCUCCACCAGCUGCGUCGGGUCUAACGAUUUACUUAGCCGGUGGUCAAGGACAGGUCGUUGGAGGAAGCGUGGUUGGUCCACUCAUGGCUUCAGGACCUGUGGUGAUUAUGGCAGCUUCGUUUGGGAACGCUGCGUAUGAGAGGUUGCCGUUAGAGGAAGAUGACCAAGAAGAGCAAACGGCUGGGGCGGUUGCUAAUAAUAUCGAUGGAAACGCAGCGAUGGGUGGUGGGACGCCAACGCAAACGCAACCGCAGAAUCAGACGCAGCAGCAGCAACAACAGUUGAUGCAAGAUCCGACGUCGUUUAUACAAGGCUUGCCUCCGAAUCUUAUGAAUUCUGUUCAGUUGCCAGCUGAAGCUUAUUGGGGAACUCCGAGGCCAUCUUUCUAAAUCGCUGAAAAACACAAAGAGUAUAAAAUUAUAAACGGCUAUAGAUGGAUAUUUAUAAUUUUAAGCUGGAAGAUAAUAAUAAGGAAAAAGAAAAAGAAAAAGAUGAUUGUUCCGAGGUUGGUAAGAAGAUGGUGAGGCAAGAAGCAUAAUGACAAGAACAAGACUUGGGAACAAGGGUUUUGAAAGUGAGAGACGAAGAAAGCAAGCAAUUAAAGAGAAGAGCAUUGGGUGAUGCACCGACGCACGUGCGUGUCUCUGAGUCUGAGCGAGAAAGAAGAAAAAAGUUCCUUUACGAGGCGAUGAGUGAAAGUGAGAAGAAAGAGAGAGAGAUAGAGAGAGUUACUUCCUUACUUCCAAAGCCACCUCCCUCCCACUUUGCCCAUCAUUCAUUCAUUCUAUCUCUCUUUCUUCGUUUUGUAUUUAUGAAUCAUACUAUACUAUAGCUCU